rnacentral:rRNA from 1 species
GACGAACGCUGGCGGCGUGCUUAACGCAUGCAAGUCGAACGAUGAAGCCGGAGCUUGCUCUGGUGAAUUAGUGGCGAACGGGUGAGUAACACGUGAGUAACCUGCCCUUGACUCUGGGAUAACUGCUAGAAAUGGUAGCUAAUACCGGAUACGACCCUCGGAGGCAUCUCCAGGGGGUGGAAAGAAUUUCGGUCAAGGAUGGACUCGCGGCCUAUCAGCUAGUUGGUGAGGUAAUGGCUCACCAAGGCGACGACGGGUAGCCGGCCGGAGAGGGUGACCGGCCACACUGGGACUGAGACACGGCCCAGACUCCUACGGGAGGCAGCAGUGGGGAAUAUUGCACAAUGGGCGCAAGCCUGAUGCAGCAACGCCGCGUGAGGGAUGACGGCCUUCGGGUUGUAAACCUCUUUUAGUAGGGAAGAAGCGAAAGUGACGGUACCUGCAGAAAAAGCACCGGCUAACUACGUGCCAGCCGCCGCAGUAA